GGGAAUAUUGGACAAUGGGGGCAACCCUGAUCCAGCAAUGCCGCGUGUGUGAAGAAGGUCUUCGGAUUGUAAAGCACUUUCGACGGGGACGAUGAUGACGGUACCCGUAGAAGAAGCCCCGGCUAACUUCGUGCCAGCAGCCGCGGUAAUACGAAGGGGGCUAGCGUUGCUCGGAAUGACUGGGCGUAAAGGGCGCGUAGGCGGCUUGUACAGUCAGAUGUGAAAUUCCUGGGCUUAACCUGGGGGCUGCAUUUGAUACGUGCGGGCUAGAGUGUGAAAGAGGGUCGUGGAAUUCCCAGUGUAGAGGUGAAAUUCGUAGAUAUUGGGAAGAACACCGGUGGCGAAGGCGGCGACCUGGUUCAUGACUGACGCUGAGGCGCGAAAGCGUGGGGAGCAAA
rnacentral:rRNA from 1 species